rnacentral:lncRNA from 1 species
UAUUCAAUGAGAAAAGAGUCAUACACCUUCUGAAUUGCACUUUCAAUAAACUCUAUUUCUGGUAGUUUUCUUUGUUGAUUCAAUGGUGAAGCAGCCAAUUACAACAAAGAUUUUUCUUCUAUGGUGAAGCGAAGAGAAAAUUUAUAUAUAUGACCAUAAAAAAGUUUUGAAAAUAUGGGUAUAUAUACAUAAGGUUAUUCUACAUAUAGUUAUACCAACUCAUGUAACAUAAAUAACCAUCUGUAUUUG